UACGUAGGUGGCUAGCGUUGUCCGGAUUUACUGGGCGUAAAGAGCGCGCAGGCGGUCGUUCAAGUCGAGUGUGAAAGCCCCCGGCUCAACUGGGGAGGGUCACUCGAUACUGAUCGACUCGAAGGCAGGAGAGGGAAGCGGAAUUCCCGGUGUAGUGGUGAAAUGCGUAGAUAGUCGGGAGGAACACCUGUGCGAAAGGCGGCUCACUGGGACCACAACUGACGCUGAGGCGCGAAAGCUAGGGGAGCAACAGGAGUUAAGAAACCCGGGUAGACC
rnacentral:rRNA from 1 species